AAAAAAAAAAAAAGUGCAUUGGAAUGAAACAUUUUCAGAAAUAGAUAGUGGUAAUGGCUUACAAUAUUGUAAUUGUAUAAUUAAUGCCACUGAAUUGUACACUUAAAAAUGGUUAAAAUGGUAAGUUUUAUGUCAUCUAUAUUUUACCAUGAUUAAAAAAAUACUAAAAAACCAAACCAAAAAAAAUUUUAAAAAAACCCCAAAAACAAAAAAGCAAAUUGGAGACAGGCCUGCUGGCUGUCUGAAUAAUCCCCUCCGCCCACUAGCAAAUGUAGGUUAGCUCAGUAAUAAUGUGACCCACUUAAGAACUGUAUGGGGACUAUUGUUGCUAACUGAUUCCAGAAGGUGAGUUAGAAAAGCCCAAAUCUAACCUCCUCACUUUACAGAAGUGAGGUCGGAGACCCUGCAAGUGUGACUUGCUGAAGACUGUGUAGCACCCGAAUACUCUGGGAACGAGCUCACCAAUGCUGCACAACACCAUGCUGAUUCACUGAGGCCACUGGAACAUUCCAGGCCUUCUGAGCACUGAAAUGAGGCCUCUUUUUGUCCAUUCUUACUCCAGGUGCCUAAUCCUUGUCGCUAAGCAUCCAGUUGCUCAGAGUUCUAAAAUUGUACAAAGCAGGACCAAGGCAUUAGGUUUCAGUCACAGCCAAGCAAGUGUGGACAAGCCAAGUAAUCUAAGAAAGGCAGAAUGACAGCUAGCCUGAGAAAUGGAAUAACAUUACUUCUGUCACAUUCCAUUGGCCAAACAUAUCAAACUUGAUACAGCAUGAGAGGGGACUGUACAAGAAUGUGGAUACCAGGAAAUGAGGAUCAGUGGAGACCAGCUUGGAGGCUGACAACAACAGGAGAUGAUAAUGAAUAGUGAAAAAUGCCAAGCAGAAGGAACAGAGGAAAUCCACAAACUGGAUAAUUGUUUCCUGAGUAACUGACCAUCAAUUUAGAUAGUGGUUGCAGUAAUUUCAAAUUCUUCUCUUCCUUUUCACUUCAGGUGAAUGAAACCUGUUUUCACCGAGAAUGAGCUUCUGUCUUGAUAGCUUUCAUUUGGUCUUUUUUCGAAUCAGAAGACCCAGAAAACUUGGAUCCACUUCUGGCUCUCAUCCCUCUGGGCAGUGUGAUUUGGAGAGCAAAAACCAUGAUAAACUCCCUUUGCAUCUUUUGUAAGAGAGAUAGACAAACGCCGGAGAGCUUCUCUGCAGUUGCGUGACCUUGGGUAGCUUCUUCAACUACAGAAAGAGAGGUACCGCUUUGCAGUCUGGCAGCUUUCCUAUUGCACUCCGAGGACAAGCUGAACGCCUCGCUCGGAUCUAGGAGGCCUGCGUGGGAAUCCAGCUUCCACUGGCUUCAUUCCCUACUAGGCAUCCACCCCACUCCACGAGGCUGCCAUCCCUGACUUCCUCCAACACAUCAGGCCUUCCUCAGGGAACUUGCCUAUGCCUGUUCUUCUUCUUCUUCUUUUUUUUUUAUACGGAGUCUCGCUGUUUCCAGGCUGGAGUGCAGUGGUGUGAUCUCGGCUCACUGCAAGCUCCGCCUCCUGGGUUCACGCCAUUCUCCUGCCUCAGCCUCCCCAGUAGCUGGGACUACAGGCACCUGCCACCACACCCGGCUAAUUUUUUGUAUUUUUAGUAGAGACGGGGUUUCACCGUGUUAGCCAGGAUGGUCUCGAUCUCCUGACCUCGUGAUCCGCCCACCUCGGCCUCCCAAGCCUGUUCUUCUUAAAUAUCUGCCUAGGCCAAGUGUGGCGGCUCACGCCUGUAAUCACAGCACUUUGGGAGGCCCAGGUGGGUGGAUCACUUGAGGCCAGGAAUUCGAGACCAGCCUGGCAAACAUGGCGAAACCCUGUCUCUAUUAAGAAUACAAAAAUUAAUCAGGUGUAGUGGUGCAUGCCUGUAGCUCCAGCUACUCGGGAGGCUGAGGCAUGAAAAUUGUUUGAACCCAGGAGGCAGAGGUUUCAAUGAGCAGAGACCGUGCCACUGCACUCCAGCCUGGGUGUCAGAGCGAGACUCUGUCUCAAAUAAAUAAAUAAAUAAAUAAAUAAAUAAAUAAAUAAAUAUCUGCCUAGAUAAUUCCUUUACCUCUUUUCUCCUUUAAGUGUCUGCUUGAAUGUCGUCUUAUUAGUGACCCUUAGCCACCCUUUUAAAGUAGCAGCCCUUCUCUACCUCGGCACUCCCUGUUCCGCUUACCCUGUCUGGUUUUCUCUUUGUAGCCCUUAUCACUACUUGACCUAGGAGCUCUUUAUUUGUUUAUUGUCAGAUUUCUGCACUGGGAUGUGGUUCUAUGAGGACGGAUAUGUUUGACUGUCUUGCUUAUGGAUGUAUCCCCAGGAACUAGAACAGUGCCUGGCAUACAGUAGGUGCUCAAUAAAUGUGUUGAAUGAAUACAUAAAUAAGAAGCAGUCAGAUUUGUUGUGUUAGGCACAAUGCCCAGUGGCCCUUCAGAAGCUGCCUUAUUUAUGCUUCCAGUGACGCUGUUCAAGGAAUGUAUUGUUCUCAUUGUUUUACAAAUGACAGCACUGAGGCAGAGACCAGAGGUGAACAGGGGCACAGAGCUGGUAAGUGAUGCAGUCAGGAGUUAUGUCCAGUUCCUUUGACCUUGGUGUCGCCAUUCUGCAUGGCUAAAAUGAGAUGGGGAGGGAGGCGUCAACAGGAUGCCGGGGCUUCCAGGUUCUGGAAGAUGGAAGAGCGUCAGAAGCACUGACAGAAAUGCAAAUGCUGGGAAGAAGGCCAGAGCUUCAGAAAAAGAAGUAGCUGAGGGAGGAAAUGUUGGAUCAAGUAAUAUUCAGGAAGAAAAUCCUGCUGUUAAGGAGAAUGACUAAAUAAUAUAUUGUCCAAGACCCCUGUGAGAGUGAAAGUGGGCACUAUUUUUUUAUUUUAUUUUAUUUUUAUUUUUUUGAGACAAGGUCUUGCUUUGUCACCCAGGCUGGAGUGCAGUGGCACAAUCUCGGCUCACUGCAACUUCCACCUCCCAGGUUCAAGCGAUUUUCUUGCCUCAGCCUCCCAAGUAGAUGGGAUCACAGGUGUGUGCCAUCACACCUGGCUAUUUUUUGUAUUUUUAGUAGAGAUGGGGUUUCACCAUGUUGGUCAGGCUGGUCUCGAACUCCUGACCUCAGGUGAUCCACCUGCCUCGGCCUCCCAAAGUAUUGGGAUUACAGGCAUGAGCCACCGUGCCCGGCUGCACUAUUAAUAAUAAGGUACAACAACAGGCAUACAUGGAGGUUGUCCCAGCAAAGGGGGAUAAGCGGUCCCUUUGGAUUCAAGUGAUUGGAACAUCCAUGAAAGUCAUGUCUAGAGAUUUGGGUAUCUCCCUUCUGGAGAUACACAGGGAAGCCACAAGGUUAGGGUUCUCAUCAUCAGGGAGAAGGAGGAAGAGAACAUGAAGACCAGCUUUGAGACCCUACCUGAGAUAAGUGGGAGGAGAAGAAAGAGCCUGUGGAAGACAGAACCGGAAGGGAGAAGAGGUACAGAG